rnacentral:rRNA from 1 species
CGGACGGGUGAGCAACACGUAAGAAUCUGCCCUUUAGUGAAGAAUACCUUCGAGAAAUCGAAGUUAAUACUGCAUACGUCUUCGGGAAAGGUGCGCUAAAGGAUGAGCUUGCGCGCUAUUAGCUGGUUGGUGGGGUAAAGGCCUACCAAGGCUAUGAUGGCUAACCGGCCUGAGAGGGUGUACGGUCACAUGGGAACUGAGAAACGGUCCAGACUCCUACGGGAGGCAGCAGUGAGGAAUAUUGCGCAAUGGGCGAAAGCCUGACGCAGCGACGCCGCGUGAAGGAUGAAGGUCUUCGGAUUGUAAACUUCUGUUAAGCGGGAAGAAUGACGGUACCGCUAGAGAAAGCACUGGCUAACCUCGUGCCAGCAGCCGCGGUAAUACGAGGGGUGCAAACGUUAUUCGGAUUUAUUGGGUGUAAAGGGUGCGUAGACGGUUUAUUAAGUUCGUCGUUAAAUCUCCUGGGCUAACUGGGAGCUUGCGAUGAAAAC